AGUGAACGCUGGCGGUAGGCCUAACACAUGCAAGUCGAACGGCAGCACAGUAAGAGCUUGCUCUUACGGGUGGCGAGUGGCGGACGGGUGAGGAAUACAUCGGAAUCUACUUUUUCGUGGGGGAUAACGUAGGGAAACUUACGCUAAUACCGCAUACGACCUACGGGUGAAAGCAGGGGAUCUUCGGACCUUGCGCGAUUGAAUGAGCCGAUGUCGGAUUAGCUAGUUGGCGGGGUAAAGGCCCACCAAGGCGACGAUCCGUAGCUGGUCUGAGAGGAUGAUCGGCCACACGGGAACUGAGACACGGUCCAUGCUCCUACGGGAGGCAGCAGUGGGGAAUAUUGGGCAAUGGGCGCAAGCCUUAUCCAGCCAUACCGCGUGUGUGAAGAAGGCCUUCGGGUUGUAAAGCCGUUUUGUUGGGAAAGAAAAGCAGCAGGUUAAUACCCCGCUGUUCUGACGGUACCCAAAGAAUAAGCACCGGCUAACUUCGUG
rnacentral:rRNA from 1 species